GACGAACGCUGGCGGCGUGCUUAACACAUGCAAGUCGAACGGAAAGGCCCUGCUUUUGUGGGGUGCUCGAGUGGCGAACGGGUGAGUAACACGUGAGUAACCUGCCCUUGACUUUGGGAUAACUUCAGGAAACUGGGCUAAUACCGGAUAGGAGCUCCUGCUGCAUGGCGGGGGUUGGAAAGUUUCGGCGGUUGGGGAUGGACUCGCGGCUUAUCAGCUUGUUGGUGGGGUAGUGGCUUACCAAGGCUUUGACGGGUAGCCGGCCUGAGAGGGUGACCGGCCACAUUGGGACUGAGAUACGGCCCAGACUCCUACGGGAGGCAGCAGUGGGGAAUAUUGCACAAUGGGCGGAAGCCUGAUGCAGCAACGCCGCGUGCGGGAUGACGGCCUUCGGGUUGUAAACCGCUUUCGCCUGUGACGAAGCGUGAGUGACGGUAAUGGGUAAAGAAGCACCGGCUAACUACGUG
rnacentral:rRNA from 1 species